CUACAGAUGCCGGGAACGCACUGGAAACCUAUGAAAACCUCCCGGGCAAUGAACAGGGAAUUACUCACGCGGCAGAUGGAGACCCCACCUAUAUGGGACUGAAGCUGGAUGACCGAUCGGUUUACAGUGAACUACAGAGGUAGGCGGGCCGACCAAUUGAUCAGCACGCUGUUACAACAAGGUUCACAAGUUCACAAU